GAAAUGCGAUACGUCUUGCGACUUGCAGAAUCCAGUGAAUCAUCAAAACUUUGAACGCACCUUGCGCUUCUGGGUAUGCCCAGGAGCAUGCUUGUCGGAGUGUCUGUUAACCCCCCUCAUCCAAUGACCUCUCCUUGUGAGUUGGUUCGCGGAUUGGUUUUUGAGCGUUCGUGCUGUGAGGUACUGUGCGCCUAAGAGUAGUCUGUUGUGCCCUAACUUGACUUAAAACUUCUCUGAUGUGACGGUGGUAGGAACAGUUGGAGACUUCUGUUCUGGCUUCUUUCAGCAUUCGAGGCAGUCAGACUUGCGGCUCACCAACAGAGAGAGACUGUGCUUCGGCACAAACAAACACUUAACAUCGGACCUCCGAUCAAGUAAGAGGACCCGCUGAAUUUAA
rnacentral:misc_RNA from 1 species